AAUGCCUACGGGGGGCAGCAGUGGGGAAUAUUGGGCAAUGGGCGCAAGCCUGACCCAGCAACGCCGCGUGAAGGAAGAAGGCUUUCGGGUUGUAAACUUCUUUUAAGAGGGAAGAGCAGAAGACGGUACCUCUUGAAUAAGCCACGGCUAACUACGUGCCAGCAGCCGCGGUAAUACGGAGGGUGCGAGCGUUAAUCGGAAUUACUGGGCGUAAAGCGCUCGUAGGCGGUAUGUCAGGUCAAGGGUGAAAUCCCCGCGCUCAACGUGGGAACUGCCUUUGAAACUGGCAAACUGGAGUGUGUGAG
rnacentral:rRNA from 1 species